GAUGAAGAACGUAGCGAAAUGCGAUACGUAAUGUGAAUUGCAGAAUUCAGUGAAUCAUCGAAUCUUUGAACGCAUAUUGCGCUCUCUGGUAUUCCGGAGAGCAUGCUUGUUUGAGUAUCAGUAAACACCUCAACUUCCAUAUCUUUUUUGAAAUGGGAGUUGGACUUGAGUGAUCCCAACGCUUUUCCUCACCGAAAAGUGGCGGGUUACUUGAAAUGCAGGUGCAGCUGGACUUUUCUCUGAGCUAUAAGCAUAUAUAUUUAGUCUGCCUAAAAAACAGAUUAUUACCUUUGCUGCAGAUAACAUAAAGGAGAUUAGUUCUUGUGCUGACUGAUGCAGGAUUCACAAAGACAGGCUUCGGCCGACUUUGUAAACUCGAUCUCAAAUCAAGUAAGACUACCCGCUGAACUUAAGCAUAUCAAUAAGCGGAGGA
rnacentral:misc_RNA from 1 species